rnacentral:tRNA from 1 species
CUUAGCUCAGUUGGUUAGAGCAUCUGACUGUUAAUCAGAGGGGCCUUGGUUCGAGCCCAAGAGGGGA